rnacentral:tRNA from 1 species
UCCCUGGUGGCCUAGUGGUUAAGACUCAGUGCUCUCACUGCUGGGGCCCAGGUUCAAUCCCUGGUCUGGGAA